rnacentral:rRNA from 1 species
UAGGGAAUCUUCGGCAAUGGACGAAAGUCUGACCGAGCAACGCCGCGUGAGUGAAGAAGGUUUUCGGAUCGUAAAACUCUGUUGUUAGAGAAGAACAAGGAUGAGAGUAGAAUGUUCAUCCCUUGACGGUAUCUAACCAGAAAGCCACGGCUAACUACGUGCCAGCAGCCGCGGUAAUACGUAGGUGGCAAGCGUUGUCCGGAUUUAUUGGGCGUAAAGCGAGCGCAGGCGGUUUCUUAAGUCUGAUGUGAAAGCCCCCGGCUCAACCGGGGAGGGUCAUUGGAAACUGGGAAACUUGAGUGCAGAAGAGGAGAGUGGAAUUCCAUGUGUAGCGGUGAAAUGCGUAGAUAUAUGGAGGAACACCAGUGGCGAAGGCGGCUCUCUGGUCUGUAACUGACGCUGAGGCGCGAAAGCGUGGGGAGCGAACAGG